CACGGUGGGAUAGAUGAUUGGGGUGAAGUCGUAACAAGGUAGCCGUAUCGGAAGGUGCGGCUGGAUCACCUCCUUU
rnacentral:rRNA from 1 species